AUGGUUUUGGUCGCCCUGCGAGGGGCGCCAAGAGGGAAGCAGGUGAGAGUCCUGCGCAGUCCCGCUGCUGUGAGUUCCAAGCAGUUAGCCACUCCAUACAGAAUGCCACUGCGGUGCGCGACAGUGCCGUGGGAAGGUUGGAGCGAGGCUAGGAACAAGCCAGAAGACCUGCCAAGACCGA
rnacentral:ncRNA from 1 species